rnacentral:piRNA from 1 species
GCAUAGCAGCUGUAGAAGUGAAUUCC